AAAACCAAAAUAUUCAAAUUGUAGAAUAUAUUGAUAAAAAUCUAAAAAGAAUCCCCAUUUAUAAAACCAUAUGGAAUAAUAAUUACCAAAUUUAAAAAGAGUAAUACAAAAUCCUAACAAAAAGUUUGCUGCAAUGAAAUUCUAGAAAUUUAUCUCCCUUUUCGGCCACUUCAAAGUCGGAUCAUUGCCAGGCAACCGAAGGGAAAAAUGCCUGCCUGCCGACCUCCUCAGAAAUUUUCGGACAACUUCAUGACGCUAAAUUAACUAGCAGACAUUUCUAUUAGCUCUGCGGAAUGAAUACCAAGGCAAUUUACGCUUAAUAUAUGCAUGAUGCUGUCCGCUUGAUAA